GGUCUUUAGUAUAUUUUUUUAUUUAUAAUUGCAAAUUAUAAGAUUUUUGGGCCUUA
rnacentral:tRNA from 1 species